rnacentral:rRNA from 2 species
GAGCAGGCGGCUGCUAUACAUGCAGUCGAACGAACCAUCCUGAAGAUUGAAGCUUGCUUCAUGAUUCAGACCUUGGUGAGUGGCGGACGGGUGAGUAACACGUGGGUAACCUGCCCAAAAGUGGGGGAUAACAUCUGGAAACAGGUGCUAAUACCGCAUAACAACUACUUUCUCAUGAUCGUAGCUUGAAAGAUGGCUCUGCUAUCGCUUUUGGAUGGACCCGCGGCGUAUUAGCUAGUUGGUGAGGUAAUAGCUCACCAAGGCAAUGAUACGUAGCCGACCUGAGAGGGUAAUCGGCCACAUUGGGACUGAGACACGGCCCAAACUCCUACGGGAGGCAGCAGUAGGGAAUCUUCCACAAUGGGCGAAAGCCUGAUGGAGCAAUGCCGCGUGAGUGAAGAAGGUUUUCGGAUCGUAAAACUCUGUUGUUGAAGAAGAACAUGCGUGAGAGUAACUGUUCACGUACUGUCAGUAUUCACCCAGAAAGGGACGGGGAACUACCUGCCAGCAGCCGCGG